UUUUUGGGGACGGAAUAAUCAACUUCCAUGACCUUCCCAUGUAAUUCCACUUUACCUUUAAAAUGAGAAGAAAAAAAACUUUCAGAAUUUCUCAACCGAGGGCUGAGGUGGCAGGGUAGAUCAGGAGAUUGACGAGCUGAACGUUCAAGUAACUCACCCUGGUCAUGAAGCAAGUGAACGCGAAAGGCGGAAUUUGAACCCAGAUAUUUCUGAUUUCAAGUCCAGAAUAUUGUCCAUGACGCCGUGCUGCAUUUCCAUUUUAUAAAGUUCCUUCUCCAUGAUAUCCUUCGAGGUGUGAUCAAUGAUGAGCAAGAGAAACAUUGUCAUCCUAAACCCCCAAGAGGGAGAAGCUAUGUCAGGGUAAGGGAAAUCUAAGCAUACGUGCUAUUGGACACAGAGGAAGGAUGCUGCAUGAGCAAAAUACAACAGGAAAUCAUCAGCUAAAUUUUAGGUGAGCUGAAUGAGAGCAAUUUUGUUUACUAAAACAUGAUUUUUUUGAAAUAUGAAACUGUGAUUCCUGUGAAAA